UACGUAGGGCGCAAGCGUUGUCCGGAAUUAUUGGGCGUAAAGAGCUCGUAGGCGGCUUGUCACGUCGGGUGUGAAAGCCCGGGGCUUAACCCCGGGUCUGCAUUCGAUACGGGCUAGCUAGAGUGUGGUAGGGGAGAUCGGAAUUCCCGGUGUAGCGGUGAAAUGCGCAGAUAUCGGGAGGAACACCGGUGGCGAAGGCGGUUCUCUGGGCCUGUUCUGACGCUGAGGAGCGAAAGCGUGGGGAGCAAACAGG
rnacentral:rRNA from 1 species